rnacentral:lncRNA from 10 species
AGGAACUUUGUCUGUGAUGAACAGUAAGGAAUAAGGAAGCGGAACUGCAGGGGAUAUGAAGCAAGCUGGACUUGGGGAGACAUCUCUGCUCGAGUGCACGUUGGCCUGAUGACGACUGCUCUUGGGUUCACGGGUUCCAGGCUCUGCCCGGGAGCCUCAUGCAAACUGGUCCCGUUCUACAGACGAGGAAACUGAGGCACAGAGUGAUUACGGCUGUCCCUGAGCUCCUGCAGCCAGUAAGGUGAUACACCAGGAUGUGUUCCCAGGUUGUCCGCUGGGCUCAGUAACACAGUCUCAACUGCCCUGUGACACUGCGUGUCUGUGCUUGUGGGGAAGGUGACCAGAGGCCCCCUUUCCUCCACGCGGUGAGCCUACCAGCAAGGAGACAGUCCUCAGGUGUGAGGAUGAGCCUCGUAGUAGGCACAGAGAAACAGGAGGAACCUUCUGGAAGGUGAAGCCUCCCACGGCUGGGACUCUUGGAGAAGGGCGGAUCUCUGUCCACUCCUGCCCACUCCCCAGCACAGACAGAGCAAGCAGGACAGAGGGCCCAACGUCCCAGGAUACUGCAGAGCUCAAAGGAGGGCAGAGAGCAUCGCCCCACAUGGGCGCCGGGAGAAAGGUGGGCGGGGUGCUCAGGGGCCCCUGGCCGUCCUGAAGUUUGCCUCAGAGAGGUGUGGGCUUCUCCUCCCUCCCAUACACAGUGUCUCUGAGGAUGAACUGCCAUGUGCCCGGCGGGGAUGCCGUCCCUGGCCCUUGCUGAGUGCCUCUGGGACGAGGUCAGCUGAGCCUGCCAUCCUAACUCAGACACCAUCUCACUCUCCAAGUCCCUUCUCGGUGAGACGGGGGGCCUUGCACCCACCUCCCAGCCCCCACACACCUGAGGGGGUCCCCGUUCCCCUACCCCGUGGCUCCACCACGCCCCACGCAUCCUACCUGAGGGACAGAGGGGACUGUGAGAUGCCCCCCACAGGCUGGUUUUCCUCUUUCACCCAUAAC